UACGUAGGGGGCUAGCGUUGUCCGGAAUCAUUGGGCGUAAAGCGCGCGUAGGCGGCCAGAUAAGUCCGGUGUGAAAGUCACAGGCUCAACCUGUGAAUGCCGCUGGAAACUGUCUGGCUAGAGUCCGGAAGGGGCGAGUGGAAUUCCUGGUGUAGCGGUGAAAUGCGCAGAUAUCAGGAGGAACACCAGUGGCGAAGGCGGCUCACUGGCCCGGAACUGACU
rnacentral:rRNA from 1 species